UGAAUACGAGACGCUAAGGCGUCGAAGUAGUGUAUGUCAUACUUCCAAGAAAAGCUUGCACUGUCAUAGAUAAAAAACGCCUGUACCAUAACCGACACAGGUGGGUAGGUAGAGUAUACUAAGGGGCGCGAGAUAACUCUCUCUAAGGAACUCGGCAAAAUAACUCCGUAACUUCGGGAGAAGGAGUGCCUUAUUCGUAAGGUUGCAAUAACAAGAUCCAAGCAACUGUUUAUCAAAAACACAGGUCUCCGCUAAGUCGUAAGACGAUGUAUGGGGGCUGACGCCUGCCCAGUGCCAGAAGGUUAAAGAAGUUGGUUAGCAAUUGCGAAGCUGAUAACUGAAGCCCUGGUGAACGGCGGCCGUAACUAUAACGGUCCUAAGGUAGCGAAAUUCCUUGUCGGGUAAGUUCCGACCCGCACGAAAGGCGUAAUGAUUUGGAUACUGUCUCGGAGAGGGGCUCGGUGAAAUAGACUUGUCUGUGAAGAUGCGGACUACCUGCACCAGGACAGAAAGACCCUAUGAAGCUUUACUGUAACUUGAAAUUGAAAUUGGACUUUAUUCGCGCAGCAUAGGUGGGAGGCGUUGAUUAUAAUCUUGCGGGAUUAUUGGAGCCAUCAGUGAGAUACCACUCUUGUAAUGUUAGAUUUCUAACUUUGAAUCAUUAUCUGGUCAAAGAACAGUUUCAGGCGGGCAGUUUGACUGGGGCGGUCGCCUCCUAAACGGUAACGGAGGCGUACAAAGGUUUCCUCUGAACGGUUAGAAAUCGUAUCUAGAGUGUAAAGGCAUAAGGAAGCUUGACUGUGAGACCUACAAGUCGAGCAGGGACGAAAGUCGGUCUUAGUGAUCUGACGGUACUGAGUGGAAAGGCCGUCACUCAACGGAUAAAAGUUACUCUAAGGAUAACAGGCUGAUCUCCCCCAAGAGUUCACAUCGACGGGGAGGUUUGGCACCUCGAUGUCGGCUCAUCGCAUCCUGGGGCGGUAGUACGUCCCAAGGGUUGGGCUGUUCGCCCAUGAAAGCGGUACGCGAGCUGGGUUCAGAACGUCGUGAGACAGUUCGGUCCAUAUCCGGUGUAGGCGUUAGAAUAUUGAGAGGAGCCUUCUUUAGUACGAGAGGACCGAGAAGGACAUACCUCUGGUGUACCAGUUAUCGUGCCAACGGUAAACGCUGGGUAGCUAUGUAUGGAGUGGAUAACCGCUGAAAGCAUCUAAGUGGGAAGCCCACCUCAAGAUAAGUAUUCUCAC
rnacentral:rRNA from 1 species